CUUCAGUGACGAUACGAUGACGAGUCGGAAGUGGACAGCUUCUUCUUACGUGCCGACUGGCUCCGGGUCACGUUCUGUGACUCCUGAGUUCGGUUGCGCGGAGCAGAUUGUUCUAUUUGGUUGAAGACAUUAGAGGCAUUUGUCUGAGAAGG
ensembl:snoRNA SNORD15 Small nucleolar RNA SNORD15